rnacentral:rRNA from 1 species
AUUUGCUUCAAAAUUUAGGGUGCUCCAAGUUGACCUUGUCUGAUCUCAGCAUCAAGUCAGUAUUGGCCCUGAUUAGUACUCGGAUGGGACACCACUGGAGAAAACCAAAUGACAGAGGCUAAGC